CCUGUCGUCAGGGACUGACCUCACCUGUUUCCUACAGCCAAGCGUUUGUUCUGCCUGUUAUCGGACUUCACAAUAAUGGGCCUUCAGAAAAAAAAGCAUGGACUUGGAGAAAAUCUUGAGCCAUUAGAAAAAAAUGGCUUCAGGAAGAACUUUUGCUGCUGGCAAAAGAAGCAAUUUUAGGACUGUUGGAAAUCUUUACCUAAUUUCCAUGCGUGUUCAAUAAAAAGUCGAGAGAAGAUUUUCUUUAAUGCAAAUGUAUUAGUCACUUAUUAGAUACAAAUGAAUAAUUCGAUAUACAGAGCUCUGGGUCACAUCUGUUCCUUACAUUACACCAAUGUACAGCGAGAAUUGCAUUUGGGAGGUCUGCAACGUCUGUGUUUUCUGACCCAAGUAUUUAUAAACAACU